GAUGAACGCUGGCGGCGUGCCUAAUACAUGCAAGUCGAACGAGAGCGCCCGGUGCUUGCUCUGUUCAAUCUAGCGGCGAACGGGUGAGUAACACGUGGGUAACCUUCCCAUCAGACGGGGAUAACAUCGGGAAACGGCUGCUAAUACCGCAUAAUACUUCGAACCGCAUGGCUCAAAGGUGCAACGCGGCUUACGCUUCUGCUUAAGCUGGGUCCCGGGGUGCAUUAGCUAGUUGGAGAGGUAACGGCUCACCAAGGCCAUGAUGCGUAGCCGACCUGAGAGGGUGAUCGGCCACACUGGAACUGAGACACGGCCCAGACUCCUACGGGAGGCAGCAGUAGGGAAUCUUCCGCAAUGGGCGCAAGCCUGACGGAGCAACGCCGCGUGAGUGAAGAAGGUUUUCGGAUCGUAAAACUCUGUUGUUAGGGAAGAACAAGUGCUAGAGUAACUGUGAGCGUCUUGACGGUACCUAACCAGAAAGCCACGGCUAACUACGUG
rnacentral:rRNA from 1 species